UGCAGAAGUUGGAAAACUCAGGACAGAAAACUCCAGGAUAAGUCGGGAGUCAGCGAUAUGGAGUAAAUCCAUCACCAGGAGAACACCUUUCUCUUCUAGAAUUGCUGAUGAAUCAUUAGGUAAAGCCGGGGCCACCAGCAGAGUGGCCUUCUGGCACAUGGCUGGGGCUUGGGAAAUGCAAAUCUUCUCUUGGCUCAGCUGUGUGGUUCUUCUUUCUUCAAGAAGCCAAAGUACUGGGUGUACCCCACAGAGUCAGAACUGGGCACAGACGGGAAAGGCUGGCUGUCAGCACCUUGCUGGCCAUGGUUGUGGACCCCAGAGUGAGCUGACAAAGCAGUCAGUCCAAGCAUGGCUGCAGGAGCGCCAGAAGGCGCUGGGUGCUAACAUUUAGGAGGCAGCAUGGACAGUGGAGGGCUACAGAGGAGGCCCCACAUGAGAGACAGAACAAGGGUCCACUGGCUGCCUGCAUUGCCUGAUGCUCCUACUACGGCGGCAGAAGGCCAGGCCCCUAGCAGGGCUGCUGCUGUGUGGAUUCUGAUGCCACUAAUGACUCAUCGUGCAUCUGGGCCUCUGACUCUGGGUGCCUCUUAGGGCUGAGAUAAGGAUGAGGGGAGAGAACAAAUGCGAAAUGCCCAGGCUUACUCUCAGCACCAAGUGGUCUGUGCAGCCCAGGAGCCUGAAGGCAAGCCCUCGCAGGAGCCCAAGGGAUCCAAACUGAAGCACUGUUUUCUGACAUCUUGUAUUUAAACCUAACAUUUUGCAUGAAUUUAUUUUCCACCACACACUUGUAUGAAUAAAAACAGAUGACUUCCCCUCAUAGUUAAGCAGAACUGACAUGUACUGGUGGCUCCUGGCCCAUGGCGCACACUGAGGAGGAACAACAAUAAUGUUAGCAUGAAAGGUGAUAAUUGGUCCUUUUAGAAAGCUGUGGAAGUGGGCACUGGAAGACGUGUUUGCCUCAGCUGCAGAUGGGUGCGACACAUCAAGGGAGCCCUCCUGGCCCGUCCUGCCCUGUACCAAGUUUCACCUGAUGCUCACUCUCCCACAUCUUCUGCUUCAGGAAAGCCCACCAUGCCUCGGUCUGGGAAGGCAGCCUAUUAUUCCAGCCCCAUAACCUUUCCUCUUGCCACUCCAUGUCCCCACCCACUCCCACCUGGACACUUACAGGACUCCAGCACUGCCUGCUCCAAGAAGCCUUCCUGGACUCCGUCAGCCCACAUUGGGCUUGUUAACACUGAUUAUCUGAAGAAUUUGGGGUAUCACCUCAUGACAUGCUGUGCUAUAUUCCAUCGAGCACCCAUGGCUUCUCUGCAGACUUAGCCCCAGCUGCAGGCCCCGUCUGUCCCAUCUGUUUCAUCAUCUCCUCACCCAGUUUCUGGGUGCUCCUGAUAAUGUUCUGUUUGUGAGGCUGGGCCCUGAGAAGGUACCCAGAAAGCCUUAAGCAUUCAUGGAAAUGAGUCCACAGGCUGUGUGAUCCAGCAGACAAGCUGAUCGAGCAUGAGAGUGGUCCACAAGAGCAGCCGUGGCACAGCCAGGCUUUAACCUCCUUGUGCUUGGGCUCGUGCUCCACUGAACCAUGGAAGUCUUGUGAUAGAGUAAGGACCGGGUGGUGUGGGAGGCAAGAGGAGGAUGGGUACACAUGUUGCCAUUAGUCAGCCUUGUCUUCGCCACCAAAUCGGGCCUCCUUCAUGGGAGGGUCUAAUGGUUUAUGGUUUUUCCUACAAUGUGAGUGCUCAGAAGAGAAAGACUAUUCUAUUAUACGCACGCCCAUGUCCAGCACGGUGCCUGGAGCACAGUGAAUGCUCACUCCCAGUGCAGGGAUGAGCGGCUGAUGGGCUGGGGAGGGAGAGGGAGCCUGGGGUUCUCUUUCAUCCUAGCUGGGAAUCCUGACCGGCUGCUAGGCCCACUUCAGCAUCUAUAAAACAAGGUAUGUCGCUGGUCUUUGGGCUGCUGGAAGGAAUAGUGAUUUCACAUAAGAGAGGCACCACCCGGCCCGGAUAGCAGGUCCUUCAGUUUUGUCUCAAGGUGGCUGAGGACGCCUGGGGGUGUCCCAGGAGGGAUGCUGAGGCCAGGUCUAGGGCAUGGAGAGAGUUGGGCAGGUGUA
rnacentral:lncRNA from 1 species